AAGAUUGUGCUUCUUGUGCACCACAAUACCAGGACGCACAUCAUUGAAAUCUAUGUCAUCGGCUUUCAUCCCUGGAGGCAUUUCCCAAUCAAAUCUGUAGAGAAAAUUAGCAAGAGAAAGCUCCACAUUGGACAUUCCCAUGAAAUAACCAGGACAAAUUCUUCUGCCAGCACCAAAUGGUGUUAGUUCAUAAUCAUUUCCUUUCACAUCGAUACCACUUUCCAACAAUCUCUCAGGCCUGAACUCAAGAGGAUUCUCCCAAGCUU
rnacentral:misc_RNA from 1 species